GGGAAGAGCCCAGCGCCGAAUCCCCGACCGUCAAGGUCGCGGGAAAUGUGGCGUUUAGGAGUGAGCGUGCCGAGAUCGGACCCCGCAGCAAGUCCCCCUGACCGGGGCCUUCCCAGAGCGGGUGCGAGGCCCAUAGCCGCGGGGGCCGUCUCGGAUGCGAUCUCCUGGGAGUCGGGUUGCUUGGGAGUGCAGCCCUAAUCGGGUGGUAGACUCCACCUAAGGCUAAAUACCGCCGUGAGACCGAUAGCAAACAAGUACCGUGAGGGAAAGUUGCAAAGAACUUUGAAGAGAGAGUUCAAGAGUACGUGAAACUGCUCAGAGGUAAACGGGUGGGCCCUCGAAAUCCUGUGGCGAGAGGAUUCAGUCUGGAGUUGCAGUCGCGCUGGUCGGAAAUCGAAGUAGGACUUCCCGGGAUCGGGGUCGUCCGACUGCGAAAUUCUGCCUCGCCAGACGCAUUUGUCUCUCGCUCGAAGGACGCCGCAGCCGGUUGGGCAGUGAAAACGUGACGGCCUGGAAGGCGGACGAUGGCAGGUGGCCGGUGGCGAGUCUCGUGCUCGUCGCCGGUUGUUAGCCGGUCCGUCGGUGGCUCGUCGUUCGACCGAGGUAUCGAGAAGCCCCUAGGGGCCCUCGCGUCUCCUCCUUUACGGAAGUCGGGACAUGCUGUCGCGAGCGAAGGCAACCGUUCCGCCGCACUCCUUCGGAGUGGGCGAGCGAAAGGUCGGCGCCGUCGGUGACAGUGGACCCGCUGGAGGUCGGAGGCUUGCGGCGAGUAGGUCGGUCACCCACCCGACCCGUCUUGAAACACGGACCAAGGAGUCUAACAUGUGCGCGAGUCAAUGGGUCUCGAAUAAGCCCAGAGGCGCAAUGAAAGUGGAGGUCGGCAGCUCGUCGACCGAGUCGGGAUCCCCUUCCCUCGCGGAGGGGGCGCACCGACGACCCGUCCUAUGCGGCUCGCCGCUUGGGCGGA
rnacentral:rRNA from 1 species